rnacentral:tRNA from 1 species
GAUUAAAAAGCGAAAUAUCGCACUUAGUUUCGACCUAAGCUUUGGUGGUAUCACCUUUAAUCU